AUGGUGCGAGGCCUGCCAUGCCUCGACCAUGUGGAGCAGUUCUGCGACAUCUGCGUACUGACAAAGCAGAGACGACUCCCCUUUCCACAACAGGCGAGUUUUCGGGCUAAGGAGAAGCUGGAGCUCGUGCACGGAGACCUGUGCGGCCCGGUGACGCCAGCCACACCAGGAGGUCGACGCUACUUCCUGCUGCUCGUCGACGAUCUCUCCCGCUACAUGUGGGUGAUGAUCCUCGGCAGUAAGGGAGAAGCGGCGGACGCCAUCAGGCGCGCGCAGGUUGGUGUGGAGGCGGAGAGCGGCCGCAAAUUGCGCGUGUUGCGCACUGACAACGGCGGCGAGUUCACGGCGGCUGAAUUCGCGUCGUACUGCGCCGAUGAGGGCAUCCAGCGCCACUACUCCGCGCCGUACAGCCCGCAGCAAAACGGCGUCGUCGAGCGGCGCAACCAGACGGUUGUGGGGAUGGCUCGAGCUCUCCUCAAGCAGAGAGGGAUGCCGGCUGUUUUCUGGGGAGAGGCGGUGCUAACGGCCGUCUACAUCCUCAACCGCUCUCCUACUAAGGCACUCGACGGCAGAACUCCGUACGAGGCCUGGCAUGGGCGGAAGCCGGCGGUCUCUCAUUUGCGGGUCUUUGGCUGCCUUGCGUUCGCCAAGGAGCUCGGCCACAUCGGCAAGCUCGACGACAGGAGCACUCCGGGAGUCUUCAUCGGCUACGCGGAGGGCUCAAAGGCCUACCGCAUCCUCGACCCAAAGACACAACGUGUGCGCACAGCGCGAGACGUCGUGUUCAACGAAGGGCGAGGGUGGCAAUGGGACAAGGCGGUGGACGACGGCUCGACGUCGACGUAUGACGACUUCAUUGUCGAGUACGCUCACUUCAAGGAAGCUGGGGGAGCAAGCAGCUCCUCUUCACCGGGCACGUCUACCCCGGCCCCCAAAACUACAUCGACUCCGGCGCCUGCUACACCGACGACACCACAACCGGCGAUGCCGCAUACUCCAGCCCCGGCGGUCGCCACUCCGGGCUCGUCUUCAUCAGCACCAGCUCACGCAGAGCACAACCCGAUGAAGUUCGCUUCCCCGCUCACUCACGACGAGGAGCGGGUCGACGCAUGGUAUGGAGGUGAACAGCUGCGGUAUCGCACGAUGGAUGAUCUACUCGGCGACCAGCCGGUGCCGGGACUGAUGCCACGUGACCUGGAGGCGCAGCUACAACUCGCGUGUGAGGACGGCGAACCACGAUCCUUUGCAGAGGCCGAGAGAGAUGCGGCAUGGCGCGCCGCGAUGCAGUUGGAGAUGGAUGCGAUCGAGCAAAACCGCACCUGGGAGCUCGCUGACCUCCCCCGUGGUCAUCGCGCAAUCACCCUUAAGUGGGUGUUCAAGCUGAAGAGGGAUGGAGCCGGCGCCAUCAUCAAGCACAAGGCUCGCCUGGUGGCCCGAGGCUUCUUGCAGCAGGAAGGAGUCGACUUCGACGACGCCUUCGCUCCCGUGGCACGGAUGGAGUCCGUGUGA
rnacentral:rRNA from 1 species